rfam:Ailuropoda melanoleuca scaffold1124_47, whole genome shotgun sequence.
AUCUACAUCUCCUUCUAAGCUAAACUUACCAAGAUUUCAGCUAGUCACUUUCCCUCCAAGACCCUGUAAACAUUGAGACUUCAUACCAAAGUGUUCCUCUUAGAAGUUUACAAAU